CCAUCGUUGUUGUUUCAACUAUAAAAAC
rnacentral:tRNA from 1 species